AUUGAACGCUGGCGGCAGGCCUAACACAUGCAAGUCGAGCGGAGCGGCGGACGGGCGAGUAAUGCAUAGGAAUCUGACUGGCAGUGGGGGAUAACGUACGGAAACGGGCGCUAAUACAGCACACUAUCCGAUGAGCCUAGGUUGGAUUAGCUAGUUGGUGGGGUAAAGGCCUACCAAGGCGACGAUCCGUAACUGGUCUGAGAGGAUGAUCAGUCACACGGGAACUGAGACACGGUCCAGAUUCCUACGGGAGGCAGCAGUGGGGAAUAUUGGACAAUGGGCGAAAGCCUGAUCCAGCCAUGCCGCGUGUGUGAAGAAGGUCUUCGGAUUGUAAAGCACUUUAAGUUGGGAGGCGUUACCAACAGAAUAAGCACCGGCUAACUUCGUGCCAGCAGCCGCGGUAAUUC
rnacentral:rRNA from 1 species